AAAAUGGUCUGUAAAUACAGCAUGUUUCCUAGCGGAGUUAUACAUAUCAAUGUAGUUAUAAAUUACAGUUUGUGAAAGUACACACUUAAUUUUUUUAAUAAAAUUAUUCAAGACAUAUGAGUGGACAGACAAUGGAGGUCGACAGACCUGGUGAUAAUUGCUUCUAUAGAAAGUUAGCACAUGGCAGUGUCAAUCUCUUGCUUUUCUUCUGAGUAGUAUUUUAUUUAGUUGUAAUUCAAACAAUAAUUUGCUUCUUGAAAUUAAGUAAUGAAUUUCUUGUUUUACUUUAUAAAUCUCAGAUCCUGCCUUUACCUGCUCCCUCCUCUACUGAUGUGGUGUAUGUGGUAUUGCUGAGCUUGUAUGUGGUGGAAGCAGAAUAUGUGAGGAUUACUACUGCUGCACAUGUUCCAAGGCUUUUUACACAACUUGACCAAUACACUGACCAGCUCAUAAAAGUCUUCAAGAAAAAAGGAGGCGUUGCAGGGAAGAAAAUUAGACAAACUUUGGCCCCAGCCACACAGAAGGAAAGUAUUGAAAAGGGGAGGGAGUGUGUCCUCAGGGCACUACCUUUUUACCUGAAUGAAGACCCAAGCAUCCUCUUCAAAGAAUAAUUGCUACAGCUGUUCAGAGGGAGCUGGAACAAAUUACCCUUGCUAUCUUUACCAUCGAAAGAGCUGAUGCCAGCACUCCUCCAGCCGAUGUGGGUAUAACCAUCUAGUGUGUCCUGCAUGACCUGGAAGACCUGGCCUCUGCAUGUGCACUCUUAAUGGGUGGGAUAUAUGCACUGAAUCUCAGUUAACCUCAAGACUGAAAGCUUUCUUUGAAGUACUUCAGAAGCUCUUCCUUCAUCUGUAUGUCAGCAUACUCUUGACCAAGGUACAGUUGCUCAAGAAUACACUGAAUGAAUAAGCCAACCUUUAAUUUGGAUGAUGAAUGUUCUGUCAGAUGGACAGAAGUUUUUCGGAGGCUGAAUGGGAAUAAAAUGGUAAUUUGUAAAUGACAGAUAACGGGAAAAUUACAUUUAAGAGAAAUUUAGAACAUUUUGAAAAGUUUGUAAACUACUACAAUUUGAGAGAUUUUACUGUUGUGGGGGGCUAGUAAGAGACAAUCAAAAGUAUUGAGAUUUAAAGGAUUUAAUUGAGAGAUGAUACUGCACCAGAAAUGUUGAAGGGUGGUGUGUAUAUUAGCGUUCAAGGCAUAUUGUUAUGAGGUGGAAAUAUGUUCAUAUUCAGUUUGUGUUACAUUGUGUGCAUUGUAAAGGUAAUUGCAAUACAUACUAAAAAUAAGGGUAAGUUAGGAGGUUGAUCUGAUAUCCUCGUGUUGGUGUUGUUCCC